rnacentral:lncRNA from 1 species
ACGUCGUAGAAGACACCCGCUUUGAGAACUUUUCCCUCCGUUCACAACGACAGAGAACUUUACAAAGGACUCUUGCUCUGCCUGGCCUCAUCUAGUUACUGGCUUUUCUAGAAGCGAAUGGCCUCCUGGGCUUCCAAUGAACCAUACGAGUUUUGAGAACCUGAACAGGACCUGCUUAGCCAUUUUCAGAUUUAAUUGUGCCCGUUUGAAUGGUGGUCUUCACCAUUUCACUCAAAGUGCCCGCAGCAGGUACCACCUUCAGAGCUGGAGUGGAAAGGAGCCAAGUGCUGGAGCAGACAGGAGGGAAGGGAAAUACCCCACUUCUCCUCUUCCUCCCAUCCUCAUCUGAUGCCUCUGAUGGGCUGAAACCUGUCAGAAGCCCAACCUACAAUGGAGCCCAGGUAAUGCUGUCUACAGGGGUCAACCUGAAGAGGAGGUGAAGAAGGGCUGAGAGUGGACCAGGGAAGGGUUGGGCAGGCUGACUGUGGCCAGCACACUGGGGGUUCUUCUGCUGGGAUCAGGAAGUUGCCACUGCCCUCACCACACCUUGAUGUAUAAGAGCCAAGGUUGGGAUGUCCCAGUUCAAUGCCUGUGGUUGCAUCUGGAGUUCCAGAAGAUUGGAAUCUCCUAUCUGGCAAGCUUCCAAGAGAAGCAGGCUGUAGAUACUAAUCUGGGUCCCUCUUAGGUGGGCAGGGCCUCGGCCUGAACUGAGCUCCAGAGAAGGCUUGCCCUGGCCAUGCAUCUCUGCCUGGAUGUCUUGGAGCCUGAGAAGUUGCUGGACUGCCUGUGAUUGUGCAUGGUAGUAGUGUUUUUUGUUUUUGUUUUUUUUUUUUGAAGGCAGAGUCUCACUCUGUUGCCCAGGUUGGAUUGCAGUGCAGUGGUGUAAUGAUAGCUCACUAGCCUCAAACUCCUGGGCUCAAGCCAGCCUCCUGCCUCAGCCUCCUGAGUUGCUGGGACUAUACGUGCACAUUCUUACACUUGGCUUAUUUUACAAUUUUUAUGUUUGCAGAGAGGGGUCUUGCAUGUUGCCCAGGCUGGUCUCGAACUCUUGACCUCAAGUGACUCUCCCACCUCAGCCUCCCAAAGCACUGGGAUUACAGGCGUGAGCCACGGCAUCUAACCUUCACUGGGUUGUGUGACUGAUGCUGUCCUGCCCUUCUAGAAUGUGUGGACCACAUGUUGGUGAGGGCAUCCUCAAGCCCAAUCCAGAAGAAGUUGGGAUGAAAAAAAGGUCUCCACCCCAGGGCGGUGACUGUGUUAAGCCCACUUGGAAGGGUGAUGAAGAACAU